rnacentral:rRNA from 1 species
AUUGAACGCUGGCGGAAUGCUUUACACAUGCAAGUCGAGCGGCAGCGCGGGGCAACCUGGCGGCGAGCGGCGAACGGGUGAGUAACAUAUCGGAACAUACCCAGUCGUGGGGGAUAACACAGCGAAAGUUGUGCUAAUACCACAUACGUCCUGAGGGAGAAAGCGGGGGAUCGCAAGACCUCGCGCGAUUGGAGUGGCCGAUAUCGGAUUAGCUAGUUGGUGAGGUAAAGGCUCACCAAGGCGACGAUCCGUAGCUGGUCUGAGAGGACGACCAGCCACACUGGAACGGAGACACGGUCCAGACUCCUACGGGAGGCAGCAGUGGGGAAUUUUGGACAAUGGGCGCAAGCCUGAUCCAGCCAUUCCGCGUGAGUGAAGAAGGCCUUCGGGUUGUAAAGCUCUUUCGGCAGGACCGAAACGGUCUUUUCUAAUACAAGAGGCUACUGACGGUACCUGAAGAAGAAGCACCGGCUAACUACGUGCCAGCCGCCGCAGUAA